rnacentral:rRNA from 1 species
GGGCCCGCACAAGCGGUGGAGUAUGUGGUUUAAUUCGAUGCAACGCGAAGAACCUUACCAGGGUUUGACAUCCUGCGAAUCUCUUGGAAACAGGAGAGUGCCUUCGGGAACGCAGUGACAGGUGGUGCAUGGCUGUCGUCAGCUCGUGUCGUGAGAUGUUGGGUUAAGUCCCGCAACGAGCGCAACCCACGUCUUUAGUUGCCAGCAUUUAGUUGGGCACUCUAGAGAGACUGCCGGUGAUAAACCGGAGGAAGGUGUGGAUGACGUCAAGUCAUCAUGCCCCUUACAUCCUGGGCUACACACGUACUACAAUGCUACGGACAAUGAGAUGCAAAUCUGUGAAGACUAGCU